rnacentral:rRNA from 1 species
UACGAAGGGGGCGAGCGUUGUUCGGAUUUACUGGGCGUAAAGGGUGCGUAGGCGGGUCUUUAAGUCAGGGGUGAAAUCCUGGAGCUCAACUCCAGAACUGCCUUUGAUACUGAGGAUCUUGAGUUCGGGAGAGGUGAGUGGAACUGCGAGUGUAGAGGUGAAAUUCGUAGAUAUUCGCAAGAACACCAGUGGCGAAGGCGGCUCACUGGCCCGAUACUGACGCUGAGGCACGAAAGCGUGGGGAGCAAACAGG